GUGUCCUCAGUAGCACAUACGCUUCAACUGGAACGAUACAGAGAAGAUUAACAUGGCCACUAUGCAAUGAUGACACACAUUCAUUCAUUGAAGCAUUCCAUAUAUUU